GGGACACGUGGUAUCCUGUCUGAAUAUGGGGGGACCAUCCUCCAAGGCUAAAUACUCCUGACUGACCGAUAGUGAACCAGUACCGUGAGGGAAAGGCGAAAAGAACCCCGGCGAGGGGAGUGAAAAAGAACCUGAAACCGUGUACGUACAAGCAGUGGGAGCACCUUCGGGUGUGACUGCGUACCUUUUGUAUAAUGGGUCAGCGACUUAUAUUCUGUAGCAAGGUUAACCGUAUAGGGGAGCCGCAGGGAAACCGAGUCUUAACUGGGCGUUAAGUUGCAGGGUAUAGACCCGAAACCCGGUGAUCUAGCCAUGGGCAGGUUGAAGGUUGGGUAACACUAACUGGAGGACCGAACCGACUAAUGUUGAAAAAUUAGCGGAUGACUUGUGGCUGGGGGUGAAAGGCCAAUCAAACCGGGAGAUAGCUGGUUCUCCCCGAAAGCUAUUUAGGUAGCGCCUCGUGAAUUCAUCUUCGGGGGUAGAGCACUGUUUCGGCUAGGGGGUCAUCCCGACUUACCAACCCGAUGCAAACUACGAAUACCGAAGAAUGUUAUCACGGGAGACACACGGCGGGUGCUAACGUCCGUCGUGAAGAGGGAAACAACCCAGACCGCCAGCUAAGGUCCCAAAGUCAUGGUUAAGUGGGAAACGAUGUGGGAAGGCACAGACAGCCAGGAUGUUGGCUUAGAAGCAGCCAUCAUUUAAAGAAAGCGUAAUAGCUCACUGGUCGAGUCGGCCUGCGCGGAAGAUGUAACGGGGCUAAACCAUGCACCGAAGCUGCGGCAGCGACACGAUGUGUUGUUGGGUAGGGGAGCGUUCUGUAAGCCUGCGAAGGUGUGCUGUGAGGCAUGCUGGAGGUAUCAGAAGUGCGAAUGCUGACAUAAGUAACGAUAAAGCGGGUGAAAAGCCCGCUCGCCGGAAGACCAAGGGUUCCUGUCCAACGUUAAUCGGGGCAGGGUGAGUCGACCCCUAAGGCGAGGCCGAAAGGCGUAGUCGAUGGGAAACAGGUUAAUAUUCCUGUACUUGGUGUUACUGCGAAGGGGGGACGGAGAAGGCUAUGUUAGCCGGGCGACGGUUGUCCCG
rnacentral:rRNA from 1 species